UACAGAGGGUGCGAGCGUUAAUCGGAAUUACUGGGCGUAAAGCGCGCGUAGGCGGCUUUGUAAGUCGGUUGUGAAAUCCCCGGGCUCAACCUGGGAACUGCAUCCGAGACUGCAUAGCUAGAGUAUGGGAGAGGGAAGUGGAAUUUCAGGUGUAGCGGUGAAAUGCGUAGAUAUCUGAAGGAACAUCAGUGGCGAAAGCGACUUCCUGGACCAAUACUGACGCUCAUGUGCGAAAGCGUGGGGAGCAAACAGG
rnacentral:rRNA from 1 species